rnacentral:rRNA from 1 species
UACGAAGGGGGCUAGCGUUGCUCGGAAUUACUGGGCGUAAAGCGCACGUAGGCGGCUUCUUAAGUCGGUGGUGAAAUCCUGGAGCUCAACUCCAGAACUGCCUUCGAUACUGGGAGCUCGAGUCCGGGAGAGGUGAGUGGAACUGCGAGUGUAGAGGUGAAAUUCGUAGAUAUUCGCAAGAACACCAGUGGCGAAGGCGGCUCACUGGCCCGGUACUGACGCUGAGGUGCGAAAAGCGUGGGGGAG